rnacentral:rRNA from 1 species
UGGGAAAUAUUGGACAAUGGGCGCAAGCCUGAUCCAGCCAUGCCGCGUGAGUGAUGAAGGCCCUCGGGUUGUAAAGCUCUUUCACCGGUGAAGAUAAUGACGGUAACCGGAGAAGAAGCCCCGGCUAACUUCGUGCCAGCAGCCGCGGUAAUACGAAGGGGGCUAGCGUUGUUCGGAUUUACUGGGCGUAAAGCGCACGUAGGCGGACUUUUAAGUCAGGGGUGAAAUCCCGGGGCUCAACCCCGGAACUGCCUUUGAUACUGGAAGUCUGGAGUAUGGUAGAGGUGAGGGGAAUGCCGAGUGUAGAGGUGAAAUUCGUAGAUAUUCGGAAGAACACCAGUGGCAAAGGCGGCUCACUGGACCAUUACUGACGCUGAGGUGCGAAAGCGUGGGGAGCAAACAGG